rnacentral:misc_RNA from 1 species
AUUUUAGAAAACAUGUUAAUCCAAUCCAAUUCUUUAAUUUUUAUAUUUUAUCAGGUUUUUUAUAUGAUUCUAGAGCCAAAGACGAGUUUGAAAGAGAUCUUGAGGUCAAAACGUGAAGAAUACAGGGCCAGAAGCAUUACACGGGCCAUGUAACCUACCCCGUGUAAUUUCCUAGACCCCAUGCAACCUUCUGCACAGAAGAAAACUUGAAAAACAAAACAACAGAAAGUUACACGGGGCAUGUAACACUACAAUUCUGACUCGACUUUUCUUCCUUCCAAUUAGGCUGGAUGGACUUUUAAAGCUUUUAGGACUCUGAAAUAAGAGUUUUUACAACAAAUAUAAAUAUAAUAAGUCAAGAAU